GAGCAAUUUAGCUGCUUGAGGAAGUUUUUUUAAGUGAUUAAAAUGCCAAAUUAUGGCCACAUCUGUAAAUGCCAUUAUUCCUGUCCUUUCUUUCCACUGAAUACUGUGACUGUUGUUGCUUUUUAACUUUGUGCUCCCAGAAUUCAGACAUAAAUUAGUGGUUGCCUAGUGAAUCUAGCCCAAUUCUCUUCAGAAUCUCAAGUUAUCUUUUUUGUAUUUCAGUUUCUUUUGAAUGUCCUCCAAUGUAACUUUCUCAAAUUCUAAUAUUUGUGUUUUCUUUCCUUCUCCUGUUAUUACAAACUUUGUACUUGGACAGUUUUGCUCUGUAAAGCAUUUCAGAUGCAACUUGUGUGAAAUGCAUUAUGCAAAAUAAAGUUUAUUGUAUUGUAUUCCCAGCCAAACAACAUGUAAUCUACAGUAAUAAAAAUAUAUCUCAUUUUGGGCUCAAAGCAUUAAUCCAGUAACUGAAAAGAGAAUACGAGUGGAGCAUACAAGCGAUGAAGAUCUUGAGACAGACUCAUUGGACUGAAUUUUCCCCUCCCCCCUUGAUGGAAGAAAUGUUCCAGAUUCUAAAUUGAGGACUUCACUAUUAAUGGCAUUAUUAACUGUGUUAUGAUUGUUAACAAAAUAUCCUGUAAGGUACACACUACAUAUUAAGGUUGGCCAUCAUUCCUGUUUUUUUUUUUAGCCAAGCUUAAAAUGAAGCUUUGUGUUUGAAGUUAUAACAAACAUAGAUGAAGUCGGUGGUUGUACAUUAUUUCAUUUAGAAAAUAUGAAAACUCAUUUUGUUUUGAAGAUAGGUAUUAAACUGAAAUAGCUAUUACGUUCUUGAAAAAUGGGGCAGGUGUGCCCUUCCCUUGACAUUCUUUUGUUGUUAAGUUCUUUAGAGUCUUGUUUUUUUUUUUCUUUUUAAUCCUGAGAGAUUAAACAGUAGACUUGUUAAGUAAAAAUAUGAAACUGUAACCAAAAUUUUAAAAUAAAGUUUUUUUUA
rnacentral:lncRNA from 1 species